GAUGAACGCUGGCGGCGUGCCUAAUACAUGCAAGUCGAGCGAACGGACGAGAAGCUUGCUUCUCUGAUGUUAGCGGCGGACGGGUGAGUAACACGUGGAUAACCUACCUAUAAGACUGGGAUAACUUCGGGAAACCGGAGCUAAUACCGGAUAAUAUUUUGAACCGCAUGGUUCAAAAGUGAAAGACGGUCUUGCUGUCACUUAUAGAUGGAUCCGCGCUGCAUUAGCUAGUUGGUAAGGUAACGGCUUACCAAGGCAACGAUGCAUAGCCGACCUGAGAGGGUGAUCAGCCACACUGGAACUGAGACACGGUCCAGACUCCUACGGGAGGCAGCAGUGGGGAAUCUUCCACAAUGGGCGAAAGCCUGACGGAGCAACGCCGCGUGAGUGAUGAAGGUCUUCGGGUCGUAAAGCUCUGUUAUUAGGGAAGAACAUAUGUGUAAGUAACUGUGCACAUCUUGACGGUACCUAAUCAGAAAGCCACGGCUAACUACGUG
rnacentral:rRNA from 1 species